rnacentral:tRNA from 1 species
GUGAAUGUAGUUUAACCAAAACCCUAAGUUGUGAUCUUAGAAACGAAUACUAACCCAUUCCAUUCACC